rnacentral:rRNA from 1 species
GUGUUUAGGGAGAGAGGGAGCGAGUAUAGGCUACUUGACCUUCUCCGACUCGAGCGCCAGCAGCAGUAGUAGCAGCUAGGGCGCCGGUGACCGGAGGUAAGCAGCGCGGUUCUGCAGCUCCUUGAGGCGGUAGCAGCAGAGGCAGCGGGAGCGGAUAGCCAAUCUCGAGCCUGCCGGAUGAUGGAGCGGUAGUGCGCCAGAAGAGGAGGUGCCGUCGGCGUAGAGCAGCUACUCGCGCUACGCAGGCCGGUGGAGCUCAGCAGGAGCCCGGCAGGGACGUUACCGUUGGGACUCUGACAGCCGCUGGGGGUCAAGCUGAUGCCACAACUGCUGGGGAGGAUGAACGGUCUCGUUGGUC